GACAUGACGUGUGGCUGUCGUAAAAACCCUAUUUGUAAACAACCAGUCCUUUAACUAAGCGCUACGUCAUAAACACGGCGCGCUUGGAAGACCACGAUAUCAUCUUCCUUCUGUCAGGAGGAUCCCAGUGAAGCUACAGGAGUUUCAUUAACGUCAACAACUUGGACCGAACGGUUUGUUUUGCUUGAUGAAGAGCAGGAAGGGCAGCCUGGAGAGAAAGAGAAGCCGGGUUGAGCCCACUACCAUCAUCCACGUACCACGAGGAAGAUGAGGGAGAGAAAUGAUCCUACCAUUAAAGAGACUGUGAAAAGAACGUUGAGAACAUCACCACUCUACAGGAAGACACAGUCCAGUAAUGGGUGUCAGAAUUUCAGUAGUGAACGACAGGUACUGUGGAAAAAUGUGUGUCAUUGUUGUACAAUGUCCUUUGACUCUGUUUACACAAGGUUAACACAAAAAGGUUUGAUUGUAAACUGAUAUUGGUAUGAAUUCAUGUUAUUCUCCUCUUCACAAGAAACAAACAAUCCAAAUUACCUGCAGAAAGCCCUUGAUGGACGCUUCAGCUGCAUCGUCAGACUGGCCAGACAGCAAGAUGCCAACUUUAAUGCCAAUUUAUUUGUGUAACAUUCUGUGACCAAAUGUAUUGAUAACUUUUUGUA